rnacentral:lncRNA from 1 species
AUGAAUUUGACCACUCAUAAAAGGAAAGAAAUACAAAAAGUAAAGAGUUCAUAACCAAGUUUUGAAAUCUUGAUCAUGGAAAGAAUUAGAUCUUGCACAAAAAAUCUUCUUCAGCCUCAAAAGACUUCAAACCCUAGCUUUUGCUCUUUGAACUUGAUGAUAGUGUUUUUUCGCUCCCCAAAUUGUGUUGAACUCCUCUUUGAUCUUGAUGAUUAUGUGUCUCUCUCUCCCAAAAUUGUGUGG